rnacentral:rRNA from 1 species
GAUGAACGCUGGCGGCGUGCCUAAUACAUGCAAGUCGAGCGAACAGAUAAGGAGCUUGCUCCUUUGAAGUUAGCGGCGGACGGGUGAGUAACACGUGGGUAACCUACCUAUAAGACUGGGAUAACUUCGGGAAACCGGAGCUAAUACCGGAUAACAUUUAGAACGGCAUGGUUCUAAAGUGAAAGAUGGUUUUGCUAUCACUUAUAGAUGGACCCGCGCCGUAUUAGCUAGUUGGUAAGGUAACGGCUUACCAAGGCGACGAUACGUAGCCGACCUGAGAGGGUGAUCGGCCACACUGGAACUGAGACACGGUCCAGACUCCUACGGGAGGCAGCAGUAGGGAAUAUUGCGCAAUGGGCGAAAGCCUGACGGAGCAACGCCGCGUGAGUGAUGAAGGGUUUCGGCUCGUAAAACUCUGUUAUUAGGGAAGAACAACUGUGUAAGUAACCGUGCACAUCUUGACGGUACCUAAUCAGAAAGCAACGGCUAACUACGUG